CGUGCCCCUGGCUAUAGGUAAAUGAUGUCUGAGUGUUGGAGCGUGCCCCUGGCUAUAGGUAAAUGAUGUCUGAGUGUUGGAGCGUGCCCCUGGCUAUAGGUAAAUGAUGUCUGAGUGUUGGAGCAUGCCCCUGGCUAUAGGUAAAUGAUGUCUGAGUGUUGGAGCGUGCCCCUGGCUAUAGGUAAAUGAUGUCUGAGUGUUGGAGUGUGCCCCUGGCUAUAGGUAAAUGAUGUCUGAGUGUUGGAGCGUGCCCCUGGCUAUAGGUAAAUGAUGUCUGAGUGUUGGAGCGUGCCCCUGGCUAUAGGUAAAUGAUGUCUGAGUGUUGGAGCGUGCCCCUGGCUAUAGGUAAAUGAUGUCUGAGUGUUGGAGCGUGCCCCUGGCUAUAGGUAAAUGAUGUCUGAGUGUUGGAGUGUGCCCCUGGCUAUAGGUAAAUGAUGUCUGAGUGUUGGAGCGUGCCCCUGGCUAUAGGUAAAUGAUGUCUGAGUGUUGGAGCGUGCCCCUGGCUAUAGGUAAAUGAUGUCUGAGUGUUGGAGUGGUGCCCCUGGCUAUAGGUAAAUGAUGUCUGAGUGUUGGAGCGUGCCCCUGGCUAUAGGUAAAUGAUGUCUGAGUGUUGGAGUGUGCCCCUGGCUAUAGGUAAAUGAUGUCUGAGUGUUGGAGCAUGCCCCUGGCUAUAGGUAAAUGAUGUCUGAGUGUUGGAGUGGUGCCCCUGGCUAUAGGUAAAUGAUGUCUGAGUGUUGGAGUGGUGCCCCUGGCUAUAGGUAAAUGAUGUCUGAGUGUUGGAGUGGUGCCCCUGGCUAUAGGUAAAUGAUGUCUGAGUGUUGGAGUGUGCCCCUGGCUAUAGGUAAAUGAUGUCUGAGUGUUGGAGUGUGCCCCUGGCUAUAGGUAAAUGAUGUCUGAGUGUUGGAGCGUGCCCCUGGCUAUAGGUAAAUGAUGUCUGAGUGUUGGAGCGUGCCCCUGGCUAUAGGUAAAUGAUGUCUGAGUGUUGGAGUGGUGCCCCUGGCUAUAGGUAAAUGAUGUCUGAGUGUUGGAGUGUGCCCCUGGCUAUAGGUAAAUGAUGUCUGAGUGUUGGAGCGUGCCCCUGGCUAUAGGUAAAUGAUGUCUGAGUGUUGGAGCGUGCCCCUGGCUAUAGGUAAAUGAUGUCUGAGUG